rnacentral:rRNA from 1 species
GACGAACGCUGGCGGCGUGCUUAACACAUGCAAGUCGAACGGAAAGGCCCUGCUUGCAGGGUACUCGAGUGGCGAACGGGUGAGUAACACGUGGGUGAUCUGCCCUGCACUUCGGGAUAAGCCUGGGCAACUGGGUCUAAUACCGGCUAGGAGCCAUUUUUAGUGUGAUGGUUGGAAAGUUUUUUCGGUGUAGGAUGAGCUCGCGGCCUAUCAGCUUGUUGGGGGGGUAAUGGCCUACCAAGGCGGCGGCGGGUAGCCGGCCUGAGUGGGUGGACGGCCACACUGGGACUGAGAGACGGCCCAGACUCCUACGGGUGGCAGCUGUGGGGAAUAUUGCACAAUGGGCGCAAGCCUGAUGCAGCGGCGCCGCGUGGGGGAUGACGGCCUUCGGGUUGUAAACUCCUUUCGCUAGGGACGAAGCUUUUUGUGACGGUACCUAGAUAAGAAGCACCGGCUAACUACGUG